CUUAUAAUUCUCUGUGUGGUCUUCAUAGGUCGUCUUCCCUUCUCUGCCUGUUUCCUCAUGUAAGAUGAAACAGAGCCUUCUUCAAGAAGUCUUCCAGUAGGAAAUCUCAUGAUCUCUUUUGGGGUGUUCCCAGAAAGUGCUACUUAUAAGGCUACAAAGUAUCUUCAUGGCAACAGUGAAGAGACAAGAGGGUAGAAAUCCUAUUAAAGUUUUGGCACAAAGACAUUGAAAUAAACCUAAGAAGUGAAAGCACAAAAGAGUGCAGAAGAGAAACCUCAGUGGGUCGUCUUCAUGAUGUAUGCUGACACAGACCAUCAUCCUUGGGGACUGGAACUAACAGAUGAGACUGAAGGAAGAACAGCAUGUUGGCACCAUUUCUGAAUAUUUCUCCACUGAGGAUUUGUAAGACACAAAGGGAGGAAAUGAUUACCCAUGGUGGAACAGGGACAGCGGUGUGCAAGGCCCUGAGAAGAGCACAGCCUCAUUUCUGAAGAACUCCUGCUCCAGGCACAUGGCCUCUACUAGCCUUCAGACGGAAAAGCCCUCAGAUGGAGAAGCCCUGCAGAUCUAAAGUGAGAUCCACAUAGAUUAGACAAAACCCUGUACUCUUUCAUCAACAACUUGAGUAAUGGCCACAGAAUGAGGCACUGGAGCUCCAGACUGGAAAGAUUGAAGAGACCUGACAACUAAAAGCCUCCUAUAUUGAACGUUGACCAGCAGCACAAAGUCAUUACUGUGAUAGUUGGUGAAACGGGAAUCUGACUAUUGGCUAGUGUGGCACUGCAUCAAUGUGAAUUGCCUUAUUUGACACUUACAUAGUCAUUAUGUAGAAGUGUCCUUGCAAGUGGUAAGGAGUGAAAAACAUGCUGAAGAGCUGAAGUGCUUCCUAUCUACAGUGUGCUCUCAAAUAGAUCAGAAAAGCAGUGGGAAAGGAUGUGUACACACACACACACCUAUCUGCUUCAGAUAUGGCUAAAGAUGGCAUGGAUACUCUAGGUGAGAGGAUUUCUUUGUAUAAUUGUUGAAACUUUCUGCAA